UGGCAGUCAGAGGCGAUGAAGGACGUGCUAAUCUGCGAUAAGCGUCGGUAAGGUGAUAUGAACCGUUAUAACCGGCGAUUUCCGAAUGGGGAAACCCAGUGUGAUUCGUCACACUAUCAUUAACUGAAUCCAUAGGUUAAUGAGGCGAACCGGGGGAACUGAAACAUCUAAGUACCCCGAGGAAAAGAAAUCAACCGAGAUUCCCCCAGUAGCGGCGAGCGAACGGGGAGCAGCCCAGAGCCUGAAUCAGUGUGUGUGUUAGUGGAAGCGUCUGGAAAGGCGCGCGAUACAGGGUGACAGCCCCGUACACAAAAAUGCACAUGCUGUGAGCUCGAUGAGUAGGGCGGGACACGUGGUAUCCUGUCUGAAUAUGGGGGGACCAUCCUCCAAGGCUAAAUACUCCUGACUGACCGAUAGUGAACCAGUACCGUGAGGGAAAGGCGAAAAGAACCCCGGCGAGGGGAGUGAAAAAGAACCUGAAACCGUGUACGUACAAGCAGUGGGAGCACGCUUAGGCGUGUGACUGCGUACCUUUUGUAUAAUGGGUCAGCGACUUAUAUUCUGUAGCAAGGUUAACCGAAUAGGGGAGCCGAAGGGAAACCGAGUCUUAACUGGGCGUUAAGUUGCAGGGUAUAGACCCGAAACCCGGUGAUCUAGCCAUGGGCAGGUUGAAGGUUGGGUAACACUAACUGGAGGACCGAACCGACUAAUGUUGAAAAAUUAGCGGAUGACUUGUGGCUGGGGGUGAAAGGCCAAUCAAACCGGGAGAUAGCUGGUUCUCCCCGAAAGCUAUUUAGGUAGCGCCUCGUGAAUUCAUCUCCGGGGGUAGAGCACUGUUUCGGCAAGGGGGUCAUCCCGACUUACCAACCCGAUGCAAACUGCGAAUACCGGAGAAUGUUAUCACGGGAGACACACGGCGGGUGCUAACGUCCGUCGUGAAGAGGGAAACAACCCAGACCGCCAGCUAAGGUCCCAAAGUCAUGGUUAAGUGGGAAACGAUGUGGGAAGGCCCAGACAGCCAGGAUGUUGGCUUAGAAGCAGCCAUCAUUUAAAGAAAGCGUAAUAGCUCACUGGUCGAGUCGGCCUGCGCGGAAGAUGUAACGGGGCUAAACCAUGCACCGAAGCUGCGGCAGCGACGCUGAUGCGUUGUUGGGUAGGGGAGCGUUCUGUAAGCCUGUGAAGGUGUGCUGUGAGGCAUGCUGGAGGUAUCAGAAGUGCGAAUGCUGACAUAAGUAACGAUAAAGCGGGUGAAAAGCCCGCUCGCCGGAAGACCAAGGGUUCCUGUCCAACGUUAAUCGGGGCAGGGUGAGUCGACCCCUAAGGCGAGGCCGAAAGGCGUAGUCGAUGGGAAACAGGUUAAUAUUCCUGUACUUGGUGUUACUGCGAAGGGGGGACGGAGAAGGCUAUGUUGGCCGGGCGACGGUUGUCCCGGUUUAAGCGUGUAGGCUGGUUUUCCAGGCAAAUCCGGAAAAUCAAGGCUGAGGCGUGAUGACGAGGCACUACGGUGCUGAAGCAACAAAUGCCCUGCUUCCAGGAAAAGCCUCUAAGCAUCAGGUAACAUCAAAUCGUACCCCAAACCGACACAGGUGGUCAGGUAGAGAAUACCAAGGCGCUUGAGAGAACUCGGGUGAAGGAACUAGGCAAAAUGGUGCCGUAACUUCGGGAGAAGGCACGCUGAUAUGUAGGUGAAGUCCCUCGCGGAUGGAGCUGAAAUCAGUCGAAGAUACCAGCUGGCUGCAACUGUUUAUUAAAAACACAGCACUGUGCAAACACGAAAGUGGACGUAUACGGUGUGACGCCUGCCCGGUGCCGGAAGGUUAAUUGAUGGGGUCAGCGCAAGCGAAGCUCUUGAUCGAAGCCCCGGUAAACGGCGGCCGUAACUAUAACGGUCCUAAGGUAGCGAAAUUCCUUGUCGGGUAAGUUCCGACCUGCACGAAUGGCGUAAUGAUGGCCAGGCUGUCUCCACCCGAGACUCAGUGAAAUUGAACUCGCUGUGAAGAUGCAGUGUACCCGCGGCAAGACGGAAAGACCCCGUGAACCUUUACUAUAGCUUGACACUGAACAUUGAGCCUUGAUGUGUAGGAUAGGUGGGAGGCUUUGAAGUGUGGACGCCAGUCUGCAUGGAGCCGGCCUUGAAAUACCACCCUUUAAUGUUUGAUGUUCUAACGUUGACCCGUAAUCCGGGUUGCGGACAGUGUCUGGUGGGUAGUUUGACUGGGGCGGUCUCCUCCUAAAGAGUAACGGAGGAGCACGAAGGUUGGCUAAUCCUGGUCGGACAUCAGGAGGUUAGUGCAAUGGCAUAAGCCAGCUUGACUGCGAGCGUGACGGCGCGAGCAGGUGCGAAAGCAGGUCAUAGUGAUCCGGUGGUUCUGAAUGGAAGGGCCAUCGCUCAACGGAUAAAAGGUACUCCGGGGAUAACAGGCUGAUACCGCCCAAGAGUUCAUAUCGACGGCGGUGUUUGGCACCUCGAUGUCGGCUCAUCACAUCCUGGGGCUGAAGUAGGUCCCAAGGGUAUGGCUGUUCGCCAUUUAAAGUGGUACGCGAGCUGGGUUUAGAACGUCGUGAGACAGUUCGGUCCCUAUCUGCCGUGGGCGCUGGAGAACUGAGGGGGGCUGCUCCUAGUACGAGAGGACCGGAGUGGACGCAUCACUGGUGUUCGGGUUGUCAUGCCAAUGGCACUGCCCGGUAGCUAAAUGCGGAAGAGAUAAGUGCUGAAAGCAUCUAAGCACGAAACUUGCCCCGAGAUGAGUUCUCCCUGACUCCUUGAGAGUCCUGAAGGAACGUUGAAGACGACGACGUUGAUAGGCCGGGUGUGUAAGCGCAGCGAUGCGUUGAGCUAACCGGUACUAAUGAACCGUGAGGCUUAACCUUACAACGCCGAAG
rnacentral:rRNA from 1 species